rnacentral:lncRNA from 1 species
AAUUUUGAGUUUACAAAUGGCAUAACCCAUAAUAUUCUUUUUAAUAAAUUGAUUUGUUUUACACUUUUAAUAUUAACUCAAUAAUAAAUUGAUUUAUUUUCCUUUUUAUUAAAAAGCUACUACAAGUUAUUACUUUUUAAUCACCCGCACCAUUAUUGUAGGAAAAAAAAAAAAAAUCACCCGCACCAUUAUUUUCACUGAAUCAGCUCUCAGGCAGUGAAUGGCGACCACUAAAAGGCGUAUUUGUAAGUGCGUAUUUAUAAAACUCAUAUUAUACACCAUUCAUGAUUUCAUUUGUUAUUAGCGUUUUUCAAGAAAAAAUGUAAAGUAACUGUUGCGUUUUUAAAAGCUGGACUAGUAACUCAUGGACCGCUUCUUUUAGCUCUUCUACCUAUUAUCCAGUGGUUUUCGUCAAAAACGCACUGGACAAUGAUAUUUUUUUCUUCUUUUUUUUUUCUUUUUAUCAGUAUGAUGAAUAAAUAAAGUUAAAUCAUCAACAUGUAUUUCAAUAAAUGAAUAGAUGCUAAAUUAUUC